rfam:Gossypium raimondii Chr07_contig_990, whole genome shotgun sequence.
AACCCAUCAUGAGGGCACCGUCUCAAUAAGUCGUUAUACCUCUCUCAUGAAUCAUAUAGGGUCUCUAAGUUAAUCUGAACGAAUGAAGAGAUAUCAUUCCUCAACUU